AGCCAGGCGCCGGAAGUGAACCCCGCGUGCUGGGGCAGGGACGGGGUCGGUGGCUCCGCCCCCUGCCGGGGCGUUGGGGCGGGGCGGCCGCUCGCCGGGGGGCGGGGCCUGCCGGGGGGCGGGGGAGGCCCCGUUGCCUGCGCUGGGGGAAGCGCGGCGCCAUACGGCGGGCUGGAGCGUCGUCGGGUGCUGUUUCCAGCUGGCGGAGCUUAAAAGCGGCCUGGCGACAGGGGAGCCGCUGCCGCAGCCCGCGGGAGGAGCCGGUGACCGCGGCGCCUGCGGCGUCAUAGGUGUUUAGAUACAGGCUCUUUGUAGUUGCAGGGUUUUUUUGUAAGGUUUUUUUUUUUCUCUUAAUUAUUAUUUUUUCUCUGGCUGUGCCAAUCUGUAUGAAAAGGAUUGGCGUGCCGGUAAUGAUGGCUUGCCUCGCUGUGUUUACGGUGCAUUUAUAAAGGAUUGCGGUCCGGUGACUUUGGUGCGUUAGUGAUGUGGUUUUCUCACCAGCAUGUUUUGCUCGGAGACUUAUAAUGUGUGUUUCUUAACAGGGAAUGUUAUAAACUUAAGCAAAGCUGCCUUAAUGUUGUUUGUUCUUUACUCCAACAGAUGAUUUGAAUAAUCCUUUUAUGUCCUUGUUUCCCUUGUAGCAAAACCCUCUCUCCCUUCAGGUGGCCUAAGAUGUAUUUACUUCCUGACAAUUGCUGAAGAUGAGUGAAUUUAAAUACAAAUACCAAUGCCUUCCAGUACUACACCUGCACCUCCCUGAGGAGAUCACAACAUCCCAGCGGUGAUUGCUCGCCUGGUGGAAAUGUUUCCAGUGGAGGUAUACAGGUGCAAACUUUGUCAGUUCACAAGCAGUUCAAAAACAGGCAUCAGGGAAGACCUCAUGUCUUUCAGUGCACAAAGUGCUCAUCAUAUUUUGAAAAUGAGCAGAUAAGAAAUCUCCAUAUAGCUUGCCAUUAUGAGGAUAUCUUUAAAUGUCUGUGAUUUUACCAGUAAGUUGAAUAUAUAUUUUUUUUAUUUUCAUGCAAUUGCCUCAGCUGUAAACUUGUUUAUGCACAUAACUUUAUUUGGCCAAUGCAAAGAUUUAGUUUGAGAGUUUCAGCAUGAAGUGGAGAUGCUAUCAUGAGAAGUUAUAGCAAACUGCCUUAAUAGUGGUUAAAAAAGAAGAAAUAUGAAUUCCGAAGGUUGAAAGAAGAGUCAUAAAUGUUCCCUUUUUAAUGUUCCUACAUCUCACAAAAUCCUGGCUCAUUUUAUAUUGUGAAUUCUGAAUAUUUCUAAGAGUUGACCUUCAUAUUCUGUUAAUUUUAAUCUUACUUUGUUUUUAGUGGCUCUGUAACAUAAUGCUGUAAAUAUAUCUAUCAAGAUUAAUGCUUUUUAUCUUUAAGUUGUGUGAAGCAACUAAUAGCUAAAUACUGUAUUUAUAAAUGGAGGACUUUGGCAAAGUGAUUUCAUCCACAUCUCAAGUUUUUAUUAAGGUUCCUAUGGCUGCUACUGUUAAUACAGAUCAAACUCUUGCUGUUUGAGUUGAAUGGCUGGUUUGGUUCUGACUGACCAAUAAGCCCAAUGCAGAAGCAGAUAAUCUUUGUGAAAUAAGGUGAUGGCUUAUAGGAGGGCUCUGGAGUUUGUGGCAGUGGUCAGGUAAUGGAAUAGCCAAUGUCAGGUAUGGGUAAUGCAGAAUAACAAGGAUUCCUGUGAUCAUAGCUGUGCUGGACAUUGUGUAUGUGUUACAGUGUAGGUUUCAAAGGGUUUGGUAAUAGCAGAUGAGAUCAUGGGUUGUGCACUCUAAGCCUUAUGUCUUCCUGUCCGUCUUUGGAGUAGGUAGGGUUGUUCUGAGAUUUAACUAUUUAAAAUGGCCAGAAUUAGAAUUUUUGUAGGAGAUACUUGCAGAAUUUCUGCAGGAGAAGUAACUAAAAAGUCAUUUUCAGAACUAAAAGCAAAACUUGAGUAUUUUUCUUAUUUUCUUCAUAACAAUGUACAUCAUCUCCACUUAAUUGUAUGCAACUGUAAGCAGGCAGUGAGCCUAGAGAGAUUUUUUCUCUAAGAGGUUGGGAAGGAGAGCACAUAAAAAGAACUGAAAGUGUUAUAUCUCUUCUCAUGGUAUUUCAAAAUAAGAAUGACUACAAUAGUGAAAAGAUAUGAGUAUGUAUAUGAACAAUCUGUUUUCUUAAGUGAAAGGAGAGCUGUUUUGUAUUGACAAAUUUAAAUUUCUCUCUUCAAUGGAUAAUUUCCCACCAGUUUGUUUGAAGCUCUUCUCCCUUACAACUGUAGUGAGAAAGCAUCCUGGAGGUGAAGUUUGCUGGGAUACUUUCAUGCAAUUCCCAUUGCAUUCUGUGAGCCAAUGAAUUUUGAAGGUUAUAACUUAACUGUUAGGAAAACUUUCUGCAUAUUUUGCGUAGUUUUACCUUCCUGUUGAAAACGUGAUAUAUAACCUACUCAAAUUUUCGGUAGUGUUACCGAAUUGACUGGGUCAUUACUUUGUAGAUAUUUCAGAUGCUUGUUUUGUAUAUUUGUGUCUUUGUGAUAACUGUGAACAAAGAAAACCCUUUUAAAUAUAUAUUUAAUACUGUGCUGAUUUCUGUAUAUAUAUUGAGGUGGAGAAACAUUAAAGAAACUGUGAGUUGUCUUCAGAUUGCUAAUAUUUUUUCAGUCAUUUAAUCCCAUUAAAGAUGGGGGAGUUUUAUCAUAACAUUACAAAGAAAUUAUUUUUCUGCCAUUUUAUUAUACUUGUGGAGCUGAUACAAUGAGCAUGCAAGUAUUCCUGCUUGCUACAAUAAUAGUCUUUGAAAUGAGUAUUAACUGUAGUGAAGCUUCUUAGUACUAAACUUGUGUUCAAAUUCUUGUCUCUUAGCAUCAAGUUUUAGCUACAACUGCUAACCUUUUUUGAUGCAGUUUGCUUGUUCUAACUCUUAAUCUACACGAAAGCUUAAUUAGUUAAUGGAAAAAUGUACAAAUGGAUAAAAUAUUUCAGUGGAGUAUACCCUAGUUUCUUCUUAAAUAUUUAUUUAGGUCAGAACUAUCAAUUUGCUAAGCCGAGGCCUGCUUCCUGUAUGCAGUUACCUGGAUAUUGUUUGUUGUUUGUCUAAAUUAAAAUAAUUGUUGGUAUUUAUAUAGGCCGUAUUAUAACAGUUUACCAUCAACAUCAGUGAUAGAGGCAAAAAUCUGAAAGGCUAAUCAUGCUCUCUGUUCUCAUUUUUGGUCUCUGAAUCCUAAUCUUCAAGAGUUGAAAAUUUGCUAUGAAGUUCAGUAAUCUUAUAUUAAAACCUUUAUGUGAAAGAG